GGCAACAUCGAGCAGAGUUGUGAGGAAAAGCAAGAGCAAACCGAGAGUCAGGGGUGAUGUGCACUGAGGCGUUCCAGAAGAUGGCACACCUGCCUGAUCAGGUGGCUGGCACACCUGGGCCUCAGCUGCAUGUCCCUGGCUUGUUCUCACCUGCCAACAGGGGCGCCAGUCCAUGCGCUCCACCUGUCCCCAAGGGAUCCUGUGGUGUAGCAGAUGUGGCACAUCUGCUGUGGGUUGUAUCUCAGUGGGUAACCUGGCCGAGGACGGAGAGCAGUGUGCUCCGUCAGUGCCUACCCAGCGGGCUGCAAAGCCCGGUUCAUUCUGGGCGGACACACUUGUUCAUGGAAUCUCAGCCUUACAACAGUAGAGGCCUGAAAGCCUCUAGCCCUUGGAUGGUAUGCAACACGUAAUGCAAGGAAAUACUCGUGAACUUUCUAGGUCUAAUUAGGGAGUAAGGGAAAGAGAUGAAAGCACAGCUCUGGAACUCUGAAAAGCAGAAGGAAGUGGAAAAUGGACUGAACAGACUCAAGGAAGUGGAAUUUUGAACCAAGGGGAGGGGAGCAGAGUUCUCUGCCCUCCCCACUUUCUUCCCCACAGACCAGGAGGUUCUGGGAGGUGGGGGCCCAGCAGCCGGGGGCUGAUGGGCAGUGUCUCCCCAGACUCAGCAAGACAUGGAAAUUUUGUCUCUGGGUAAGCAAAACGGGGGUGCUGACAUGGUUGAGGAUGGAGUUAUUACGUAGAAAAUAAGGACUACAGGACGGGUGAUACCUGCUGCCACCACCACCUGACCUCCCUCCUAUCUCUCCCUUUCCCCUGCUCUUUCUCCUUAGCACCCAGAACACAGAAAACCAGCUGAGUCCCCAGGCAGGAGAUCCAGAGUGAGCAGUUUCAGAGGAAUCUGACCAGACAAAGACGGAAGACUAAACGUUCUGAAAAAUUUGAGGCUCCCUAAGAUGGAAGUCGGCCAUCAGUGAGGCCUACCCAGGUGAUGGAUCCCAAGAGGCAGGGAGAGCUCCACUGAUAAAAAUGAGUGCACACCCAAGGGCCGCUGGACCUUGGUGAAGGCCUCUAAUAUGAAGAGGUCCAGGCAACAGAAUGGAAACGUUUGAAAAGAUGAGAGUCACAGAACAAAGAAGGGCUGGGGAUUAAGAAGAGGAAAGCAAAAGUGAAAAAUCUACCGAGUGACAGGGAGAUGAAGUGAGGGAAGGCUGCCACAAAGACAGAGCCGAGGAUAAAGGCAUGAGAAGCAGAAGGGAAAGAAGGAUAGAUUAAAAAACAAGCAAACAAAUGCAAAACCGACAGAGGUCCAACAUCCGGAUAAUAGGAGUUCCAGGAAGAGAGAGCACAGUGCUUGGGAAAAGACCCCUCAAGGCUCACUCUCAGCCAGACCCGGGACAGGGAAGACCCAAAGCAGCUCCCAGCUGUAGGCUGCUCAGCAGCGCCGACAGCAGGGAGACAGGCAGCACUGGUUUGGAGGGAAAAUGACUUCUCUCCUAGAUCUCUACACCACACUGUCAAUCCGGGUAUAGGAAGACACCUUACUUCUCAAGACCUCAAAAAAUUUACCUUCCACGCAUCCUUUUCGGGAAGCUACUGGGGUCUGCUUGGCUGAACAGGUCACAGGAUUGAACACAAGAGAAAAGCAAAGGGAAACUGGGGUCAAGGCAAAGGACGAUCUGAGGAAGGCUGUGACAGUAACAGGUCAGGGGUCCACGCCAGAGAAGUCACAAGGCACCCAGGGACGCUUCUUCGACAGGGCAGAACAGAUAGGACAAUGAAUGUUUCUGUGUGAUGGUGAGGCGUUUAUGCAAAGAAGGCAAGCGGGAAUCACUUACUGGAAAGGAUCAGCUGUCCUUUGGAGGAACAAGUCUAACAGGAGGACACAAUGGUAGUGCAUGUGCCCGCUCACUUAAAACACUUGCAUCAAUGUCCACUCACCGGCGCAGGUGACUGCAGUACACCAAGAUGUUAAGGUGUGACAGCUCUCAUGGGAACUUUCUGGACAGCAGCUCAACGUCCCAUUCCUAAAGUUCCAGGGUGUGCCAUACACUACUAAAUCAGUUUUCUAUCUGGUGUUUCCUGGGUCGGACAUCCCGGGAAGAUCCCCUAUCAAGUCUCGCACCACAGAGGUGCCUCUUCAGAGUUUUCAGCCACUCCACUGAGGUCUAUUUUGGGUCUUCUAAGGGUGUGGGAGCUGAACGCUGUCAUGGGCCCGGGGCUUGCAGUGUACACUGGUAGCUACACGGAAGGAAUGCUGUGUUUAUCACAGCUGCCUUUCUCCCUCCCCCUGAAGUCUCUGCCAUGCUUUGGGUAGGAAAGUGCUAUGUCAUCGGCCAGCACUUCCUUCACCGAGGCCAUACAUCUUGCACCAUCUAGAAACGACUGCAUGCAACUCCCAGGUAGGUGGUAUGGCACUGCCAAAGGCCAUGACACCCACCUGCAGCACAGCUUUCUCUGAGCAAACAAAGUGCUGAGUCCUGGCGUGAUAAUCAGACCUAAGUUAACCAGUCUCCUUCAGAAAACAAGAUGCUUCAGAAGUUAACCUGACUAGGAACAUUUCAGGAAAAGUGUCAUUUUUCUGAGUUUACCCAGAGUGGUCUUGCUCAGAACAUGCCCUCCCAGUUGACCAUGACAUGCUGUGUUCUUCAAAUAUUUGCAGAGUCCAGUGACACUGACUUUUCCAAACCAGAAUGCAAACAUAAUAAACCACUGGCAACGAACAGGACUCGUUCCUCUAAGCGGCUGCGGGGUUGGGGUUUCUGCUGCAGUUUGUUGUCCAAAUCAUCUCAUGAGGAAGCAGCCU